GAGCAGCCCGAAGCCAUGAGUCGCUGUCACUGCUCUUUCUGUGCCUGGUGCAGCCCCAGCUCAUGGGGUCUGGGCCACCUCUGAUCCCAUGCCCCCCACUUCACACUCGGGGUUCUGGCUUCCCUGCUGUGAGCCUGUCUCUCCUCCGUGGGACAGGCCAGCCUGGGCAGCCAUCCCAGUGCUCACUGCCCAGCAUAUAGUGGGUGCCUCAUAAAUGUGGGCUGAACAGAGCCUGCCCCGGGCCCCCUGACUUCCAGACAUAAAGUAGGUGCUUCAUAAAUGCAGGCCAAACAGAACCUACCCUGGGGGCCUCCACUUCCCUUUGAUGGGGGCAGAGACCCUCUGCCGGGCAGCGGCCACCCAGUGCCUGGGACAGGUGCCCCUUUCUCCCACCCUGGCCUAUCUCGGGGCAUCUGAGGGAGGACGGGGCUGUGCCCCCCACUUCACCCUCGAGGGUCUGGCUUCCCCACCUGUGAGCUUGUCUCUCCUCCGUGGGAGGAGCCGCACCGUCGUUUUCACUUUCCAUGAUGACCGUUGAGUGAGAGAAGAUGACGGCAGCUCCUGCGUUUAAAAAGGAACCAUCCGCGUAACUGCCGCAGGCAGGGCCCGUGCUCGGGCAGUGAGGCCUCGGCCCUGAGAAGGCCCGGACCCCACAGGCCUGGCCCUGGCUGAGAGGGAGUUGGAGUCCCCCGCCUGGGGCAGCCCCUCUGCACCUGGGGUGGUGGAGCAGGAGCUUGGCUGCAGGCGGGGCUUUCCUCCCAGCUCUGGGAGCCACCUUGCUGCAAACGCUGUGACUUCCGAGAGCCUCCGUCUCUGUUUGACACUGUUAAUCCUUUAGGUGACUUUUUUUUUUUUUAGAUGGAGUUUUGCUCAUCGCCCAGUCUGGAGUGCAAUGGCGCGGUCUCAGCUCACUGCAACCUCUGCCUCCCAGGUUCAAGUGAUUCUCCUGCCUCAGUCUCCCAAGUAGCUGGGAUUACAGGUGCCCAACACCACGCCCAGUUAAUUUUUGUAUUUUUCGUAGAGAUGGGGUUUCACCAUGUUACUCAGGAUGGUCUCAAACUCCUGAUCUCAGAUGAUCCGCACGCCUCCACCUCCCAAAGUGCUGGGAUUACAGGCGUGAGCCACCAUGCCUGGCCUAGGUGACUUUUCAUGGUGAGAUAACACACAGGCAUGGUGAGCAGCAUGGCAGAGGACCUGUGUGCAGGGCCCUGUCUCCCGCCGGGGAAUCCUUCAUCUGGGAAAUCUCCGCUGCGGGACAGGGAUGCUGUGUCGUCAGGACGCAGCGUCUCUCCAGGGCACCCGGGCCUCCUCUGAGCCUCUUUGCGCUCUUUGGCUGCGUGCUUUCUUCCCUGUGGCAAAAGGUACAUGACGUUUUAUUGACCAUUUCAGCCAUUGGCAAGUGUGCAAAUCAGUGGCUUUAGUCCAUUCGCAAUGCAGCUGGACCCCACCCUUUCCUGAUUCCCGCAGGCCAGGGCUGAGGGCGGGGAGGGGCCUGUGCAGCAGCCUGAGACCGGCUGUCCAAUGGCAGAGCUUCCUUCUGGGAAACCAUGGGUCCCCUGGGGCCCCAUGCUGGAACCCCAGCAAUGGUGGUUCACGUGUCUCUCCAUCUCACUUCCCGUGCAAAAGCGACACAGGCGGGUACAAACCCAAACAGUGCAGACAUGGAGGAGACAGAAAAGUGAAAAUGGUUUCUGAGCCCCUCCAGCCGCCCUCUGGGCACACCAGCCUGGAGUUCUUCAGACACAAGCACUCCCUGCAGCCAGCGUAGUUGGUGCUCACUGGAGGGCUGGCCAGGCCUGGGAGCUGAUCCUCUCAGCAAAGUUCAGCCCCAGGGAUGAGCUCAGCCGGAGAAGGAGACCUCUUUGCCUCUGGGGCUGCUGCCCUGGUGGAGCCACGCCGGGAACCCGAAUUCCAGCCGAGACAGUUCUGGACCCAAUUGUGUCUCCCCUGAUUUUCUGUGUGGAGACUUAAGCCCCAGUGAUGCUGCAUUUGGAGGUGGACUUGUAGGGAGGGAGAGACACCAAGCGCCCUCUCUCUGCCCUGGCCAAGGGGAAGGCCGGGUGAGGACAUAAUGAGAAGGUCCCUUCUGCAAGCCAGGAAGAGACGCUGCCUGGAACCAACCCUGCCUGCGCUGGCUCCGGGACCUCUCGCCACCAGGACUGUGGGAAAAUGCUGCCCAUGGCUUCAGCCACUCAGUCUGUGGGACUUUGUCCUGACCAGUUGAACAGAUUAACACAGCCUAAAAAAGUGUACACAUGUGGGCAAACAUACAUACACAGAGAAGCAAACAGUGCUCGGGGGAGGGGACACCAGACCUGGGUUUGCCGGAGCCCGCGGUGGAGCAGGUGGAAUGCGACCUCCUCAGAGCCUGUGACUAUCAGGGAAGGAGCGGCCCAAGGAGGCCCGAGCAGUCUGCCAGGGGCAGGGCCCCUAUGGGUGUCAACAUCUUCUGAGAGUUGGGCACAGCCUGGACUUUUCCCAGGGUGGGGCCGGACCUCCCAGGGGCUUCGGGGCUGGGCCAAGACUCCUGGAUUCAUCAGGCUGCAGCCACACUGGGGUUGUGGGCCACGGGUCUGUUCCGUGCAGACGGACCCAAGGGAUGGACAGACAUAGGACAGCCUGGUACCAAUUCCCACUUGGAAACAUCACCUGCUUCAGGGUCCGUAUGACGUCCAAUAAAGUACACCCGCUGUGAGCCUGUGAGCCUUGAGUCUGGCAAGUGCCUGCCCUCACAUAACCACCAUCACUUUUGUGAUGAAGACAUUUCCAAGAAAGUUCCCUUGUUGAGCUUCUAUGGACUGAAUGACGUUUCCCCCAAUUCACAGGUCUAAGCCCUACACCCCAGUGUGACUAUGUUUGGAAAUGGGGCCCUCAAAGAACUGAUUAAGGUGAAGAGACGUAAUGAUGGCCAGCACUACACAGGAGGAAUGGUGUCCUUAUAGGAAGAAGAGGCGCCAGUGUCCUGGGGGCAGAGGGACCACCCUGUGAGGACAUAGGGAGCAGGUACCAUCUGCAGGCCCAGGAGGGAACCAACCCCACCUGCCCCUGCAUCUUGGACUUCCAGCCCCCAGAACCAUGACAACAUUGCGUUUCCAUUUCUUGAGCCCCCAAGUCUGUGGCCCUUUGCUUUGUUUUGACACCCCAGCAACAUGAGCCCCUUCCCAACCCCUCCCCAGCCCUGGCCACAUCAUCCUUGACCUCUCUCUCCCAGCAGGUUAGAUCUGCCUGUCCCAGAAUUUCACCUGAAUCACAAAGCGUGGCGCCUCGGGGCCUGGCUCCCUUCACGUGGCCUGAUGUCUGCAUAUUCAUCCGCCGUGCAGUGUGUGUCCACGGUUCAUUUUGUGUUGCCACGUAGCAUCUCAUUGUGUGGCCCUAGCCCAGUGUGUUAAUCCGUUCACCUGCUGGUGGGUGUUGCAGUGGUUUCCAGCUCUUGGUUAUCACCGAGAAAGUGACUGUGAACUUUCGCACACACGUUUUGCUGAGGACAACUCCUUCCAUUUCACUUGGUUACUAGGAGUGGAGUUGCUGGGUCCUAGGGAAGGUGUGUGUUUCUCUCUAAAAGAAUUUGCCAAACCGAUGUCCAAAGCUGUACCAUUUCAGGCUCCUGCCAGCAGCACGUGGGAGCUCUAAUUACCCCAUGUCCUUCCCACACUUGGUAUGGUCAGAACUUUUCCUCUCCAUCACCGUGACGGGUGUGGAGUGGAAUCUCACAGUGGUUUAACGUCAUUUCCCGAAUGACUGUGCAUGCUGACCACCCUUUCAUGGCUUUGGUGAAGUUCAAAUCUUGCCCAUUAAAAAACAAUAGUGCUGUUUGUCCUCGUAUUGACUUGUAAGAAUUUUCUCAGAGUGUUGGAAUUGUCACCCAAUGCGUGGUUUGCCUUUUCAUUUCCUGGAAAGCAUACUUCCAAGAGCAGGAGUUGCUAAUGUCAAUAAGUCCCAAUUUCAAACAUUUUCUCUCGUAGCUCUUGUGUUCUGCGUCCUGUCUAAGAAAUCUUUGCCCACGUCCAGGUCACAGAUAUUUUCUCCAAUGUUUUUCGCAGGAAGUCUUAUAGUUUGAGCUUUACAUUCAAGCCUAUCGUUCGUUUCAAGCUAAUUUUUUGUGUCGUGUAGGUAAAGAUUAAGGCCAUUGUCCCCUGUCAUUUAUCCAGUAUUCCAGAAAUUGUUUGCCAAAAAGACUACCUUCUUCACAUUGCAUUACCUUGACACCUCUGUCAGAAAUGCUUGCAUCAUCUGUGAAUGGGUCUCUCUCUGGCCGCUCCUGUUUCAUUGACCUAUUGGCACGCCUCAUGCCCGCCCCACUCUCUCUCAAUGGCUGAAGCUCUACAGUAAGUCUUUAAGUCAGGAAAUGAAAAUACUCCAACUUCGCUCUUCCUUUUCACUAUUAUUUCGGCUGGUAAAUGUCCUGUCUGUUUUCAUAUACAUGUUUAGAAUCAGUUUCUCGAUUUCGACGACCAAGCCUGCUGGAAUGUUGACUGGGAUUGCAUUGGUCCAUUUGGGGGACAAUGGGUAUUUUCCUCAUACUUGGUCUUCUGAUGUAUCCACAUGCCAUGCCUUUCCAGUUAUUAGAACUUCUUUCACUUCUCUCGACAACGUUUUCACUGGCCUUGCGGGUAUUUUGUUAAAUUUCCCCUAAGCAUUUCCUGUUUUUUGAUGCAAAUAUGUUCUUGUUUCCCUUAUACUUCAAAUUCCAAUGUUUAGUUUUUAAAAUAUUGGCCUUGCAUCUUGUGACCUUGAUAAUAAAGUGACUAGUUCUCACAGGCAUUUUGUCGAUUUCUUAGGACUUUUAUACACAUGAGCACAUUCUCUGCAAAGAGGCAAUGUCUUUUUCCCCCUUUGUGUCCAAUCUCUAUGCCUUCCAUUUCUUUUUCUUGUCUUAUUGCACUGGCUAGGACCUCCAGUACCAUGUUGAGUGCAGGUGGUAGGAUGGGAGUCCUUGCCUGGCUCCUGACCUUUAGAAAGACACAUCCUGUCUCACCUGCAGACUUGAGGCAUGGGGCGACUCUGCAUGCCAUCUCCUGGGCUCAGCUUCUGCACCACUCCCUGGUCUCUGCAGCUCUGUCUUGUAAUUUCCAGCUGCAAUCCUUUUGCUUUUACCCAGCCCAUUUCUCUUUUGUGUGUGUGUGUCUUUUUUUCCCCUUUUUCUGCAGAAGAGGGUCUCUCUAUAUUGCCCAGGCAGGUCUUGAACUCCUGGGCUCAAGCUGUCCUCCCACC
rnacentral:lncRNA from 1 species